AAAUGGUAGUGACUUAUUGUAGGGGGAGAAUAAUGUUACAGAUAUUUUGUAAUAAAAGAUGCCAUAUCACACUUUGCCAAAUUCUUUGUACAGUGGUAACUUCCAACUGCCACUACGACUUUGUCAAGCAAAACCCCUCUGCCUGUCCUGAGUCAUAUUUUGAAAGUGUAUCUCUAUGACAUCCAGGAUUUUGCCUCCCCCUAUGCAUAUGCUCUGAGUGGUGAGAUUGCUUCAGAGAGCCAUUUCAACGCUUAUGUAUAUGAAAUAGAUUGAGACUGUUCCCAAAAUGUAGAUAUUUUUUUGGACCAAAUGUUGAAAUUCAAUGACAACAACAAUAGCAAUAAUAAAUUCUGGAACUUAAUAGCUAACAAAUAGAGACCACAAAAUAUCAUGGGCCAGCUCUGAUAAGGAUUUAAAUGUAGAUCUCAUUUGAUUCCCACAACUCUUGAUGGGAUAUUCCAGACUCAAAACUUCCCUACACUCUAAAGCUCUUAAUCAAUGACACUUACCUUAAUUUUUGUCUCAGCUUCUGUUUCCUGACUAAGCUGGACCCAGCAUUGAAAUAGCACUUAUUUCAUAGUAUAAUUCAAGGUAGCAUUAUAUUUAAUACAAAACAGAAAGACCCAAAUUUGUGUCACUGUCAGAACCCAGACCGAUAUUAUAUAUUAUGUAUGGCAACUUUCUAGAUAAGUGAUACUCAUUUAAUGAAUGUCUUGAUCAGAUAUUCUAGAGGACAAAAAGUAUUACACAUGCAUUUUUAUUGUAUGAGGCUCUUAGUCAUAACAUCAUCUACAACUUCUUCAACAUAAAGGUCCUAGUAAAUAAUUUGCCUGACUCAAAUAUGAUAUAAUUAUUUAUUAUAAAAUUUAUCAAUUCCAGAUCAUGAACUCCAAAUUGCUCUUUCAUAUCCUUGAAGGAGACCUUAAGUGAUAAAGAAAUUCCUCUGACCUUGAAGUGACUCCAAGAGACAAUUUAAAGGCAAGACACAGCAGCAUUCAAGGAAAGCUCACCAUAAACUUGAAUACACUCCAAAGAGGGGGUUGUUCUUGUCACCAUGGUGAUUUUAUUCUUUCCUGGACUGAGCUCAGAAUGAAAGGGGAGGAGUUUUCAAAGGAAAGAUACUGACAUAGGUGAAUCAAAAAUGUAGAUACAAUAUCGAGCCAUUAGUAGAGAUAUGGUGCUUGAAGUUUUCAGCCCAUGUUUGGGAUCAGAUGCUCAAUUAAGAUAAUUGACUCUUAGGUAGCCUGAGAAAGCACCGUUUUGUUGUAAAAACAUUUUAAGUGAUUAGAGAGUUAUCUUAUUAUUAUCAAUACUCUGCUGAAAAGCAUUACACUGGUAUUUCCUCAACAAACAUUUGCAAUGUUUACUAUUCCUAUGCAAUGUGCAGAGUGCAUUACAUCCAUUAUUUCACUUAACACUUAAAAAUCUAUGAGGUAAAUACUAUGAUUAUUCCCAUGUCAAAGAUGCAGAAGUUAAAGCAAAUGAAACCAAGAAAAAUUCUUUUGGCUUUUGCUUUUGGUCUGAUUUUAAUCUUUUUUGUUGUUGUUGUUCCCCAAUGAUGUAUCCUUAGAAAAAAUGAGGUUAAAAAGCCCCAUCUUCAUGGAACCUGCAUCCUGGUGGUUCGCCUAGGUCACACAGCUAGUAAUUAGCACAGGUGAGUGUCAAAUCUAGGUUGGCAUUUAUAAACACUACCAUAAAUAACUAGAACCUGUGUAUCAAAGCAUAUAUAAAUAUUAUAUGAAGCUCUGGUUAAUACUGGCCAAAUCUGCAGGUCAAAUUUUUGCAUGAUACAGUUAGGAAGACCCCUGGCAUGAGUCUGGAGUGCUCAUAGCUAUCAUUAGUUGUGUGCCCUAUUGUGAGAAUUUCAGGAAUCAACUACCAAGAAGGUAACUUCUUUCCUAUUACAUAUUAUCCAGAAGCCUGUCUAGACUUCUGGCAAUUUCUGUCUGCCACAAGUGGAGGAUGAUUCUGUUGGAGUUAGGAAGGGCCUUCUCUUAAACUGAGCAAAAAAAGCAGAAAUUUAUCACAACCAACCCUGGCUGCCAUUUUGGUGACAGAUGCCACACCUAGGUCUUCCCCAAACAGUCCUGGAAUGGCUCUCUGGAAUUCUGUAUGUGCCAGCAGUCAUUUUCAGACAUGACAAUCUUUUGCUGAUGCUUUCCCUCUUGCUCUCCAUGUGACCUUCAUCACCUAUUCUUUCCUCAGUUACUCUGAUUUCUGACCUUCACAAUUGUGGGGGAACAAUUAUUUCCUUUUAGAGAAAACACGGAGACUCUGGCACAAUGAAUAUCUAGGUAAUGUUUAUCAGCACAGGAGCGUAUGGACCCUCUUCCUCAUGGCCCAGAGGUCCUAAUGUUGUUGACCUCUUGACCCAAAAACAAAGAAGCCCCCCAAAGCCUCCAAACCCUCCAUUGUUUCUUUUUCAAAUACUUUGGAGAAUUCCUAGCCACUUUCUUCAUUUCCCUGAAGGAAAUGCAUGGGAGCCAGCUGCUAAGUGCUGGUGUGUUUGCACACACCUGUCUGUUUAUUUUUUAAAAUGUAAUUGGGAAUAUGCCUAGAACCAUGAGUCUGUUUCUGUAGUGCACUCUAAGCAGAUUUAGGCACGCAAAAGACAAUCACAGCCUUGUAUUGUGCAUUUAUUGCACGCAUAGUUCUCUGGUUGGCAUUUUGCAAAGAUAUAAUGAUCAGAAAUGCCUGGAACACAAACUUUAAAUGGGGAGAUGAGGUACUAAAAAGUAACUGAAAA
rnacentral:lncRNA from 1 species